rnacentral:tRNA from 1 species
GGUCUCGUAGCUCAACUGAUGGAGCUUGCGCGUACCAAGCCUAGGCGUCGUACGUGCGUGGGUUCGAAUCCCACCGAGCCUA